rnacentral:rRNA from 1 species
AUUGAACGCUGGCGGCAGGCCUAACACAUGCAAGUCGAGCGAGCGGCGGACGGGUGAGUAAUGUAUGGGAAUCUGCCCGAUAGAGGGGGAUAACUACUGGAAACGGUGGCUAAUACCGCAUACCAUCGGAUGUACCCAUAUGGGAUUAGCUAGUAGGUGGGGUAACGGCUCACCAAGGCGACGAUCCCUAGCUGGUCUGAGAGGAUGACCAGCCACACUGGGACUGAGACACGGCCCAGACUCCUACGUGAGGCAGCAGUGGGGAAGAUUGCACAAUGGGCGCAAGCCUGAUGCAGCCAUGCCGCGUGUAUGAAGAAGGCCUUAGGGUUGUAAAGUACUUUCAGCGGGGAGGCGUUACCCGCAGAAGAAGCACCGGCUAACUCCGUGCCAGCAGCCGCGGUAAUAC